GAGGUUAAGCCCAGAUCUUCUAAGGCAGAUAGAAGAGUGGUUUCUGCAGCAUGAACUUGGAAAAAGGCGGAGAGGAUCAUAGCAAGGGCCGCAUUUCCCACUGCCCCGUGUGUACAGCUCCUGUAGUUAAGAGGACAGGCCGGACUCGAGGUGGGCUGAGGGGGCAGCCUAUUUCCAUGCAUGUUGUAGGGAUACCACGUGCACACCUUAAGAUGCUCAGCCACUCCUGGGACUCUGGCAUCUCCUGCGUGGGGGCCUUAAGUGGUAGAUUGGGUGGUGUCUGCAGGGUGCGGACGGGAUGAGACUGCUGUCCAGCUGCUGGACUUGUUUUCUCUACCUGCCAGAUCAGGGCUGCCCCUGCCCAGACCGCAGACCGUGGAUCUUUCUUGGAAAGCAGAGAGCAUAUAUUGUGUGGCCAUUGUAGAGGAUGAGUCCAGGGCCAGGGCUGGUUCCUCCUGAGGCUUCUCUCCUUGGAGAUAGAAUCUUUUCCCAAUGUCCCUCUGCUUUGUCUGUCCUGACCUUGACCUUAAGUACCGUUUUUUUUUUUUUCUCCCCUGAUAGUCACAUUCUGGGGAUAGAACUUCAACUAGCAGACUCUGGGGCACAGCAGUCCAGCCCAGGACGGAGUAUAAGCCUGAACUACCUACUUUUCCUGUCAGCUGGCUCAGUACCAUGCUCACUACACAUUCUGCUCGUCUGGAGCCAGACUCAUGCUUCCCCAGCCUCUUGCAGGUUCCUCGACUGGUGAGGGGCCUCCAGAUGGACAGCCAUGCUUCUGGGCCUUGGAGUGGCCAGUGUGUCCGUCUUCAUCCUCACCCUUUUGUCAUGGGCCUUUGCUCUCUCCCCAAUGUGUAUUUGUAGUAGACAAGCAGGAUUUGGUUUGUAUGACAUAAGAAAUGUCUUUCUGGUGGAGUAGUCUUUGUGCGGUGACACCGGGUGGCAUUGGUGGCAUGGGACAAUGAGUCUUUCUGAUACCGAGAAAGUGGCUUUGAUUUAUGGCAUUGGUGCUCAGCUCUGUACGUUUAGGCAGAUGGGCUAAAAUGCCAUCCUGGCUUUUCAACUGGUUUGAGCUGGCUGUAUGAGGCCGGCUUGCCCGUGAGUACCCCAGGAUGGCCAGGUCCAGGGAGGCCCUCCCAUCCCAGUCCAUGCACAGGGCCUUUAGCUCGUGGGUGUGGGUUGUGGAGCUCUUUAGCUUCGUCCCUGGUUGUUGACUGGGUAUUAAGGCCGGGGCUGUGUAGCCAUUGUCUAGGGAGCCUCCUGUUUAGGGACACUGGAGGCAAUUGUUAGAGAAGACGUACGCUCCAAGAUGACAGAUCCCUGGGUCCAUGGACAGGCGUGGGGCCUAGUUUCAUCCCCAGUAUAUCCCAGCCCUGACCUGUUUGUGGCACCAUUCACACUGGGUGGGCAGCAGGCAGCCUGGAACACAACCUAGCUAGUUCUUCCAGCCCAGACACAGUCUAUAAUUGCCUUAACUAGGGUCUGUCCAUAGAGUCCAGUCACAGCUAUGUUCCAGAACCUGCAGGUGCCCUGUUGGGGGCUGCGGAUCCUGGAAUGACCUCUUCGGGGAUGGCUAGAGCCUGUGACUUCCUUCCAGGAGACGAUACUGUGUGGGGGUCUGCAGCAGGCUGGAUCACCAGGCCACAGCGCCUGGGUCCUCCCUAUCAGCCCCCUGACUGAGGAAGGCAUGGCUGGCUCUGCAGCAUGGGCCUCCCUGAGAGGUUUCCUUCUCUGUCCUGCAUCCCUGAGCCUUUAGGAUCCCUGGAGCUGGGAGCUGGACCAGGGCAGCCUGCUCCAGCAUCCUGUUUGCUGCUGUCUGCUUCCCACCUGACGGUCAGGCCCCACAGACUUGGGAAAUAGGAUGGAGCCAGGAGAACAAGACCAUCAUUUAGGGAAGGAACUCACCAGAUAAGGGCAGGCGGGACCUGGACAUAAUGCCAUUGUUGUGUCAUGGAGCCCUGCAGCCUGACACUCAGAGAGUACCGUGUAUUCAUGAGUACUGUCGUUUAUGAUGGCUGCUCUCCAUCUCUGCCACUCCCUGAGAUGUUCUGGUUUUUGCAGAUUAAAAAUGGCUCUUGAGAAACCGCACACCCUGGGGCCCCUGGAUGUGACCUUAAGGGGAGCUCAGUCUUUGCAGACAGUUAAAGGUCUAGACACGCCUUUGUUUGCUUUGGGGUGGACACUGGGGUCAGUGCUAGGUUGCUAGGUGACGGGUGGGGUGGGGUUUGAGACAAACACAGAUAGCUUUGUGAAGAGAGCAGCAGAAUGUGAGUGUGUGGCAGGAACCAGGCAGGUCACCUGAAACCUGAGACCUGCCACUAGAGUGAAAACUUGGAGAGAAUAGGUGUAACCUCCAAGUGUGGGGCCAGUUGUCACUGCAGCCUAAGACACAAGGCACGGACCGGGUGCGCUGGGCAUGCUGCUGUCCAUUGGAAGCUGGGCGGAGCACGCGUCUUCUGUGUCCUCGUUCCUAAGGUCACUACAUAAAAACAUUGGUUAUUUAA